rnacentral:rRNA from 1 species
UACGAACCGUGCGAACGUUGUUCGGAAUCACUGGGCUUAAAGGGCGCGUAGGCGGCAGGUCAAGUCCGGGGUGAAAGCCCCCAGCUCAACUGGGGAAGUGCCUUGGAUACUGGCGUGCUCGAGGGAGGUAGGGGCCCGCGGAACUUCUGGUGGAGCGGUGAAAUGCGUUGAUAUCAGAAGGAACGCCGGUGGCGAAAGCGGCGGGCUGGACCUUUUCUGACGCUGAGGCGCGAAAGCCAGGGGAGCGAACGGG